UUAGCCUGUGGGCGCAAGGAAGUACCACAGUCAUGGCAGAAGAAAACUUGUGAUGCAUGAAGCAACACAUGGAAGAUAAUUCUGGAGAUUUUUUUUUUUUUGUGGAACCAGAACUACUGACUUAAUUUCACUCAUCUGGUCCCUGGGGAAAUACUUGUCGUUAUUUUGGUUUCAUGAACCUUCUUGAAGAGGAAAAGGAAUAUCUUUUGUUUUGUGUUUUUAUUUGGUUUGUGGGCGAACUGCCCUGAAUUCCAGAAAAGGCGCCUCACUUUUGAGAAAUUUUCUCACACGGGUCUUCGUGGAACUCACUACUCAGCUGGCCAAGGGAAGUUCAUUCUGAUCAUUGAAAAGGCUACGAAGGUGGGUUCUGCUGCAAGAGUCGAUCGCUUUAAUGCCAAUCACUUCCUUCUGCAACAGACAGCAUAGCAGAGCCCGUGAUUAAGAAGAAAAUCUCACAACUAACGAGGAUGGCGUGAAGAAUGAGGUCCGGUUAUCUCGGGGGGAGGCUGCCACAGUUUCAGGUCAUGAACAAUCACGCAGGAUUAAUUCUAUGUUCUAUCAAGAAGCUGUGUCUUUGAUCAUAUUGCAGUAAUUGCUGAUUCUGCCAAAAAAACUGAUCAAAGUCGACCUGUUGGAGAAAAGGCUAAACAUGUUUGCUACUUACUGUCAAGAAUAUCACUUUCAAGACUAUGAUCUUUCUGCUUAAAUUCAUUAUUAUUUGUGGACAGAGAUAGACAAUGUGAUGUGAUGUCAUGAUGGAUGCAGUUCAAGUGCUACUCAAAUACCUUAGAUGAACGUUUUGUGUAAUCACAUGCAUUUAUGUAAUUUCCAAGAGUAGCAUACCAGCAAUCACUUGGACAUGGAUAGCUCCAGUUGGACAUUGGUGCAAUCUUCUACUGCACCACGACUUUUUAGCUUUGUGCUACUCGUCAGCCUGGUGUCAACUGAUCUCAGAUUACUGUAGCAUCUGAUUCUGCCCCUAGUAGUCAUAGAGACAGCCUUAUCUUUCCUGAGCGGUGAUGGUGAUGACAGUCUCUUUUGUGUCAAAACACUUUACCAAGCCUUUGGCUGCAUUUGGUUGAGCAUGAACAUCAACUUUACUGCUGUUGAAUUGGAUAGACUUAGAAAAAAACCAGCUAGUUUCCAUGUCAGCUCAGAAAAGAUGAUGCAUAUUUGGCUGCUUUAUUCCCCCCUACCACCACCAGUGGAAAUAAAGCAAGAUCCUUCUUUUGGUUGGAUACCUUUCACUCAAAAUUCUAUGCUGUUGGAUACCACUAUAUGAAAAGGGCAGUAGUAGCCGGCCAUGACACACCAAACCUAACCUAUGAUAACUUUACCUAAAGCAAAUAUUAGAGGGAGCCACAUGGUCUUAGUAUGAUGCAUUCCCUUGAAAGCUUUGCUUUUAUAAAAUAAUUUGCAGUCUGACAAUUUUGCAGUUCUUUAAGGACUGCACAUGGUUAUGAACGACAGACUGUGUCAUCUUCUAGGAAGAAGGAUGCCCACUAGAGCCUCUUGGGCCACCAGACGUGGCAGUCGUUCUUUAUGACAUGUCAUGACCGUGACAUGACGUGGAAACUUUUGACUGCAAGAUAAUAUAAGGAGAGGGGCUUCCAUGGCAGAGGAGGCAGUGGAUGAGAGAAGAUGGCGGUGAAGCAAGUAAGCAGCAAGCAAGAGGCAGUUGCUCUUGUGAGUGUCCAUGCAAGGAAGACCAUCAGUCCAUGGCGUCGGCUGAUGUGUUGGAGGAAGCUGGUGUGGAGGAUAAAGGCACAAUGGAGGCAAGCCACGAGGUUGCACAAGCAGAGGAAGAAGUUCAGCUAUGACAUCUAUAGUUACUGUCAAAAUUUUGAUGAUGGCAUUCGAUAUGAUCUGUAGACACAGUAGGUAAGAUGUCUAUAAGACAGGAGAAGGGGAAUUCUGCUUCCUUUUCAUGGAAACACAGAUUUUACUUCAACUUUUUGUUUUUAUCUUGUUUCUGUACAUAUCUUACUGUAUAGUUCCUUGGAGGUGAUUCAAUCAUCACUGCACUGAAGUUUGCUUUUGAACUGUGAAUAUCAGAAAGUCUUUCUUAAAAGUUCUUGUCACCGAGUUCAUGACAACUUUCACCUUGGACUGAUCCCCAGAUAAUGGAGAUCUCAAAGUCUUUGUAUCGUGGUCAUCAUUGUUUAUAUCCUUGACGAAUGACUUCAGCUUCGGUGCUCAAUUCCAACUUAGCGAUUUUUUUUCUUCUUUUCUUAGGAGCAAGCACAUUGUAUCAUGUGAUAAAACUGGUUCGGUCACUUGUCAUAUGAGCAGGUCAUUAUAUAUGAUUUGUAGGUGAGAAUAUCUUUUAAUCAAUGGUUUUGGUCUUUUAAUCAAUGGUUUUUUGUAGAAGGUCAGUGUUCAUGUACUUAAUCUUCUCCUCCGCAAGAGGUGGCAGCUUAAAUUAGACUUGGAGUAA